rnacentral:rRNA from 1 species
UUCCGGUUGAUCCUGCCGGACCUGACUGCUAUCGGAUUGAUACUAAGCCAUGCGAGUCAUUGUAGCAAUACAAGGCAGACGGCUCAGUAACGCGUAGUCAACCUACCCUAUGGACGGGAAUAACCUCGGGAAACUGAGUAUAAUGCCCGAUAGAACACUAUACCUGGAAUGGUUUGUGUUUCAAAUGAUUUAUUGCCGUAGGAUGGGACUGCGGCCUAUCAGUUUGUUGGUGAGGUAAUGGCCCACCAAGACUAUUACAGGUACGGGCUCUGAGAGGAGUGGCCCGGAGAUGGGUACUGAGACACGGACCCAGGCCCUAUGGGGCGCAGCAGGCGAGAAAACUUUGCAAUGUGCGAAAGCACGACAAGGUUAAUCCGAGUGGUUUCUGCUAAAGGAACCUUUUGACAGUCCUAGAAACACUGUUGAAUAAGGGGUGGGCAAGUUCUGGUGUCAGCCGCCGCGGUAAAACCAGCACCUCAAGUGGUCAGGAUGAUUAUUGGGCCUAAAGCAUCCGUAGCCGGCUCAGUAAGUUUUCGGUUAAAUCUGUACGCUCAACGUACAGGCUGCCGGGAAUACUGCAGAGCUAGGGAGUGGGAGAGGUAGACGGUACUCGGGAGGAAGUGGUAAAAUGCUUUGAUCUUUCGAUGACCACCUGUGGCGAAGGCGGUCUACCAGAACACGUCCGACGGUGAGGGAUGAAAGCUGGGGGAGCAAACCGGAUUAGAUACCCGGGUAGUCCCAGCUGUAAACUAUGCAAACUCAGUGAUGCAUUGGCUUGUGGCCAAUGCAGUGUUGCAGGGAAGCCGUUAAGUUUGCCGCCUGGGAAGUACGUACGCAAGUAUGAAACUUAAAGGAAUUGGCGGGGGAGCACCACAAGGGGUGAAGCCUGCGGGUUCAAUUGGAGUCAACGCCGGA